rnacentral:lncRNA from 1 species
UUUGAAUUUGAAUUAAAGGUUUUAGGGUUUAUACUUUGGUAUAUGUGCGUUAUACGGAUUAAUUAGAGAGCGGAUGGGUUCCGUCGCGAAUCUGUGACGAAAUCUGACGAAACAAGAUUGUAGUUUUAGUACCCUCGUCAUGCUAAAUACGAUGGCACUGUCGGAUCGAAAAUCCGACGGACGGAUCUUCGGAAAAAGCGAGAUGUUCGCUGAGGGGUCAAAGUGGCAAAACGGAUAAAUCGCGAAGAGACCCUAUAUUUUAUGUGCCGAAUUGCGUG